rnacentral:rRNA from 1 species
AGGACAAACGCUGGCGGCGUACUUAAGACAUGCAAGUCGAACGGGCGCUUCACCUUCGGGUGGGUGUGCUAGUGGCGGACGGGUGAGUAACGCGUAGGAACCUGUCAUCAAGAGGGGGAUAACGCUGGGAAACCGGCGCUAAUACCGCAUGUGGUCAUGAAAAUGAAGAAAGCAGCAAUGCGCUUGAUGAGGGGCCUGCGUCCGAUUAGCUUGUUGGUGGGGUAAAGGCCUACCAAGGCAUCGAUCGGUAGCUGGUCUGAGAGGAUGGUCAGCCACACUGGGACUGAGACACGGCCCAGACUCCUACGGGAGGCAGCAGUUAGGAAAUUUUCCCAAUGGGCGCAAGCCUGAGGGAGUAACGCCGCGUGGAGGAUGACGGCUUUCGGGUUGUAAACUCCUUUUCUGUGGGAAGAGUAGAAGACGGUACCGCAGGAAUAAGCCUCGGCUAACUACGUGCCAGCAGCCGC